UGCCCAGCCCGCCCAGGCUCCGGGCGCUGUGACUUCGCGCCGCUGUGUGCGCCUCCCCGAGCGCCGGCUGCGCCCCCCAGCCCGGCCCGGGGCCUACCGCCUGCCCGGCCCCCUGCCACUGCCAGGAGGACGGCAUCAUGCUGUCUGCCGACUGCUCUUGAGCUUGGGCUGUCCGCCAUACCGGGGGACCUGGAUCCCCUGACGGCUUACCUAGCAGUGCCCAGGAUGGUGGCUGAGGGUAAAGCUGACAGAACUGGAGGUGGAGGUGAGGGGAGCGUGCCCCAGUGGGGUGGAAAUAAUGUCUGUUCUUCUGCCAUGGCUGCUCAGGACUGAGGCUGAGACGGGCGACCAGGACGGGAUUGUAUGGCUGCAGGAGGCUACACAGUCCCAGGAGGCUGCUUCUAAGAUGCCCACGUGGCCUGCAUAGGGAUGCGCCUGGCUGUCCAGCAUGUGGUCAUUUGAAUUGUACAUGUUUCACUGGGAUGCCUACAGAAAAGUAGACAGAAGAUGUGGAAAAAGUUUUUGAAAUGUUGCAAACUUAGCUACUUUUAAAAUAAAAAAAUAGCUUUAUAAUUAUAAAAGCAAUAUGUAAAUCUUAAAAUAAUUUGCUACAUUCUAGUAAGCAUCUUAUGAUCUCUAUGUGCCCUAUAACAUUAUGUUGUAUAGUUUAAAUAUAUACAAUAAAAUCUAUUUUAAAAAAUA
rnacentral:lncRNA from 1 species